CUGUACAGUUCAGAGUUUGAUCCUGGCUCAGGAUGAACGCUGGCGGCGUGCUUAACACAUGCAAGUCGAACGAGGUUAUUACAGUUGAAGUUUUCGGAUGGAAACCGUUUUAACCGAGUGGCGGACGGGUGAGUAACGCGUGGGGAACCUGCCCCAUUCCGGGGGAUACCAGUUGGGAACGACUGUUAAUACCGCAUAAGCGCACGGUACCGCAUGGUACAGUGUGAAAAACUCCGGUGGAAUGGGAUGGCCCCGCGUCUGAUUAGGCAGUUGGCGGGGUAACGGCCCACCAAACCGACGAUCAGUAGCCGACCUGAGAGGGUGACCGGCCACAUUGGGACUGAGACACGGCCUAA
rnacentral:rRNA from 1 species